rnacentral:rRNA from 2 species
GAGAUGAGUUCUCCCUGAGACUUUAAGUCUCCUGAAGGAACGUUAAAGACGAUGACGUUGAUAGGCCGGGUGUGUAAGCGCAGCGAUGCGUUGAGCUAACCGGUACUAAUGAACCGUGAGGCUUAACCUU